UUGUUUUGCAAGGCUUACUACCCCCAGUAUAAGUUUACCGGGGGUAAUAAACUUUAUUUUUUCUACAUCUAGGUUGUUCUUCCUCUGUUUUAGUGUGUAUUAUGGCAUUGAAAAUAUUUUUUUGCAAGUUUACUACCCCUAAUAAAAGUUUACUGAGGGUAGUAAAUUUUAGUUUUUCGAAUCUAAAUUGUUCUUCCUCUGUUUUAGUGUGUAUUAUGGUCUUGAAAAUACUGUUUUGUAAGUUUACUACCCCCAGUAAAAGUUUACUAGGGGUAGUAAUUUUAUUUUUUUCGCAUCUAAGUUGAUUUUUCUCCGUUUUAAUGUGUACUUACAGCCUUGGAGAUAUUAUUUUGCAAGAUUACUACCCCCAGUAAGAUGUUUACUAGGGGUGGUAAACUUUAUUUUUUUGCAUAUAUGUUGAUUUUUUCUCUCCUUUAAGGUAUAUAAUGUCAUAGGAAAACUGUAUUGCAAGUUUACUACCCCCAGCAGAAGUUUACUAGGGGUAGUAAGCUUUAUUUUUCUGCAUCUAAGUUGAUUUUUCACUGUUUUAAGGUGUAUAAUGGUCAUGGAGAAACUUUAUUUUAAGUUUACUACCCCCAGUAAAAGUUUACUAGGGGUAGUAAACUUUAUUUUUUGUACUUGGGUUAAGAUCACGUAAAUUUCGAUGGCAUUUAAAAAAAUCCAGUGAGAUUUCCGGAAAAUUCCGGCCACCGGAUGCCGGCAAUUUUCCGGCCAUCGGAAAAUUCCGGUCACUGGUGACCGGAUUCCGGCAGCCGGAGUUCGGAGUCCGGCGACCAAAAUGCGGCCGCCGGUGACUAGCGCCGGAGCCCGGUGUGCUUCCGGCAAAAUCUUCCCUCCAUCUUUUUCACUUUUUCUCUUUAAGUAAAAGCUAAGGGUAAAAAAGUCUUUAAAAAUAUAAUUUUAUUAUAUUUUAAUAAAGAUUUGUAUAUUUGGGCUUAAAAUAAGUACCUUGUAUUCAAAUGAGCUAAUAAAAAAGAUUAUCAUUGAAAUGGGGUUUGACUUUUUCUAUUUUGUGCAAAUGGUCUUUUCCCUUUUAUAAAUGCCCAUUUAGUACUAAUUUGAAGAGCUGAUAGCCCAUUCCAAUGAAAAUCAUUUUUCAUUGCCCAUUUACACAAAUCUUAAGAAAAAGACAAUAUUGUCCAUCAUAAUUAUCAAACCUACCUCUCCUCAUUCUCGUUUACCCGAUUAGGCCUCUCUCUCUCUCUC
rnacentral:lncRNA from 1 species